rnacentral:rRNA from 1 species
CGUUACCGUCCGCGGAGGACAU